GACCUGGUGGUGAAUGGUUCACACCCACUCUGCUUGAUUACUUUGUUCUGUAGAGGCUGGAAAGUACGAGCCCUCGGUUCGAUUCCGGGCCAGGUCA